GGGUUGUGAGGUUAAGCGACUAAGCGUACACGGUGGAUGCCCUGGCAGUCAGAGGCGAUGAAGGACGUGCUAAUCUGCGAUAAGCGUCGGUAAGGUGAUAUGAACCGUUAUAACCGGCGAUUUCCGAAUGGGGAAACCCAGUGUGAUUCGUCACACUAUCAUUAACUGAAUCCAUAGGUUAAUGAGGCGAACCGGGGGAACUGAAACAUCUAAGUACCCCGAGGAAAAGAAAUCAACCGAGAUUCCCCCAGUAGCGGCGAGCGAACGGGGAGGAGCCCAGAGCCUGAAUCAGUGUGUGUGUUAGUGGAAGCGUCUGGAAAGGCGCGCGAUACAGGGUGACAGCCCCGUACACAAAAAUGCACAUGCUGUGAGCUCGAUGAGUAGGGCGGGACACGUGGUAUCCUGUCUGAAUAUGGGGGGACCAUCCUCCAAGGCUAAAUACUCCUGACUGACCGAUAGUGAACCAGUACCGUGAGGGAAAGGCGAAAAGAACCCCGGCGAGGGGAGUGAAAAAGAACCUGAAACCGUGUACGUACAAGCAGUGGGAGCACAGAGCAAUCUGUGUGACUGCGUACCUUUUGUAUAAUGGGUCAGCGACUUAUAUUCUGUAGCAAGGUUAACCGAAUAGGGGAGCCGAAGGGAAACCGAGUCUUAACUGGGCGUUAAGUUGCAGGGUAUAGACCCGAAACCCGGUGAUCUAGCCAUGGGCAGGUUGAAGGUUGGGUAACACUAACUGGAGGACCGAACCGACUAAUGUUGAAAAAUUAGCGGAUGACUUGUGGCUGGGGGUGAAAGGCCAAUCAAACCGGGAGAUAGCUGGUUCUCCCCGAAAGCUAUUUAGGUAGCGCCUCGUGAAUUCAUCUCCGGGGGUAGAGCACUGUUUCGGCAAGGGGGUCAUCCCGACUUACCAACCCGAUGCAAACUGCGAAUACCGGAGAAUGUUAUCACGGGAGACACACGGCGGGUGCUAACGUCCGUCGUGAAGAGGGAAACAACCCAGACCGCCAGCUAAGGUCCCAAAGUCAUGGUUAAGUGGGAAACGAUGUGGGAAGGCCCAGACAGCCAGGAUGUUGGCUUAGAAGCAGCCAUCAUUUAAAGAAAGCGUAAUAGCUCACUGGUCGAGUCGGCCUGCGCGGAAGAUGUAACGGGGCUAAACCAUGCACCGAAGCUGCGGCAGCGACACUAUGUGUUGUUGGGUAGGGGAGCGUUCUGUAAGCCUGUGAAGGUGUACUGUGAGGUAUGCUGGAGGUAUCAGAAGUGCGAAUGCUGACAUAAGUAACGAUAAAGCGGGUGAAAAGCCCGCUCGCCGGAAGACCAAGGGUUCCUGUCCAACGUUAAUCGGGGCAGGGUGAGUCGACCCCUAAGGCGAGGCCGAAAGGCGUAGUCGAUGGGAAACAGGUUAAUAUUCCUGUACUUGGUGUUACUGCGAAGGGGGGACGGAGAAGGCUAUGUUGGCCGGGCGACGGUUGUCCCGGUUUAAGCGUGUAGGCUGGUUUUCCAGGCAAAUCCGGAAAAUCAAGGCUGAGGCGUGAUGACGAGGCACUACGGUGCUGAAGCAACAAAUGCCCUGCUUCCAGGAAAAGCCUCUAAGCAUCAGGUAACAUCAAAUCGUACCCCAAACCGACACAGGUGGUCAGGUAGAGAAUACCAAGGCGCUUGAGAGAACUCGGGUGAAGGAACUAGGCAAAAUGGUGCCGUAACUUCGGGAGAAGGCACGCUGAUAUGUAGGUGAAGUCCCUCGCGGAUGGAGCUGAAAUCAGUCGAAGAUACCAGCUGGCUGCAACUGUUUAUUAAAAACACAGCACUGUGCAAACACGAAAGUGGACGUAUACGGUGUGACGCCUGCCCGGUGCCGGAAGGUUAAUUGAUGGGGUUAGCGCAAGCGAAGCUCUUGAUCGAAGCCCCGGUAAACGGCGGCCGUAACUAUAACGGUCCUAAGGUAGCGAAAUUCCUUGUC
rnacentral:rRNA from 1 species